rnacentral:rRNA from 1 species
GUAGUCCACGCUGUAAACGAUGGAUACUAGGUGUGGGAGGUAUCGACCCCUUCCGUGCCGCAGUUAACGCAAUAAGUAUCCCGCCUGGGGAGUACGGCCGCAAGGUUGAAACUCAAAGGAAUUGACGGGGGCCCGCACAAGCAGCGGAGCAUGUGGUUUAAUUCGAAGCAACGCGAAGAACCUUACCAGGACUUGACAUCCUCUGCAUUACUCGUAACUGAGGAAAUCCUUCGGGACAGAGAGACAGGUGGUGCAUGGUUGUCGUCAGCUCGUGUCGUGAGAUGUUGGGUUAAGUCCCGCAACGAGCGCAACCCUUAUCAUUAGUUGCUAACAGUAAGAUGAGCACUCUAAUGAGACUGCCGGGGAUAACUCGGA